rnacentral:rRNA from 1 species
GAUGAACGCUGGCGGCGUGCCUAAUACAUGCAAGUCGAGCGAACGGACGAGAAGCUUGCUUCUCUGAUGUUAGCGGCGGACGGGUGAGUAACACGUGGAUAACCUACCUAUAAGACUGGGAUAACUUCGGGAAACCGUAGCUAAUACCGGAUAAUAUUUUGAACCGCUUGGUUCAAAAGUGAAAGACGGUCUUGCUGUCACUUAUAGAUGGAUCCGCGCUGCAUUAGCUAGUUGGUAAGGUAACGGCUUACCAAGGCAACGAUGCAUAGCCGACCUGAGAGGGUGAUCGGCCACACUGGAACUGAGACACGGUCCAGACUCCUACGGGAGGCAGCAGUAGGGAAUCUUCCGCAAUGGGCGAAAGCCUGACGGAGCAACGCCGCGUGAGUGAUGAAGGUCUUCGGAUCGUAAAACUCUGUUAUUAGGGAAGAACAUAUGUGUAAGUAACUGUGCACAUCUUGACGGUACCUAAUCAGAAAGCCACGGCGAACUACGU